UCCGAGUUGACCCCGGCAGUCUCCUAUGAGUCCCCACCAUCACGUGCUGGCAACAUAGGACAAGGGUUGCGCUCGUUGCGGGACUUAACCCAACAUCUCACGACACGAGCUGACGACAACCAUGCACCACCUGUGUACCGCCCCGAAGGACACCGUAUCUCUACGGCUUUUCGGUACAUGUCAAGCCUAGGUAAGGUUCUUCGCGUUGCAUCGAAUUAAGCAACAUGCUCCGCCGCUUGUGCGGGCCCCCGUCAAUUCCUUUGAGUUUUAGCCUUGCGGCCGUACUCCCCAGGCGGGGUGCUUAAUGCGUUAGCUGCGGCACCGCGGGGGUCAAUACCCGCAACACCCAGUUCUCAUCGUUUACAGCGUGGACUAC
rnacentral:misc_RNA from 1 species